rnacentral:rRNA from 1 species
CCUACGGGUGGCAGCAGUGAGGAAUAUUGGUCAAUGGACGAGAGUCUGAACCAGCCAAGUAGCGUGAAGGAUGACUGCCCGAUGGGUUGUAAACUGCUUUUAUAAAGGAAUAAAACGAGGCACGUGUGCCUUUUUGCAUGUACUUUAUGAAUAAGGAUCGGCUAACUCCGUGCCAGCAGCCGCGGUAAUACGGAGGAGGCAAGCGUUAUCCGGAAUGACUGGGCGUAAAGGGUGCGUAGGUGGUUUGAUAAGUUGGUAGCGUAACUCCGGGGCUCAACCUCGGCACUACUACCGAAACUGUCGGACUUGAGUGCAGUAGAGGCAACUGGAAUUCCUAGUGUAGCGGUGAAAUGCGUAGAUAUUAGGAGGAACACCAGUGGCGAAGGCGGGUUGCUGGACUGUAACUGACACUGAGGCACGAAAGCGUGGGGAGCAAACAGGAUUAGAUACCCGUGUAGUC